rnacentral:rRNA from 1 species
GACAGAGGGUGCAAACGUUGUUCGGAAUUACUGGGCGUAAAGCGCGUGUAGGCAGCCUAGCAAGUCGGGUGUGAAAGCCCUGGGCUUAACCUAGGAAGUGCACUCGAAACUGCUGAGCUUGAGUUCUGGAGAGGAAGGCGGAAUUCUCGGUGUAGAGGUGAAAUUCGUAGAUAUCGAGAGGAACACCGGUGGCGAAGGCGGCCUUCUGGACAGUGACUGACGCUGAGACGCGAAAGCGUGGGGAGCAAACAGG